GACGAACGCUGGCGGCGUGCUUAACACAUGCAAGUCGAACGGAAAGGCCCUGCUUUUGUGGGGUUCUCGAUUGGCGAACGGGUGAGUAACACGUGAGUAACCUCCCCUUAACUUUGGGAUAACUUCACGAAACUGGGUAUAAUACCCGAGAGGAGAUCUUGCUCCAUGUUGUUGGUAGGAAAGUUCGGGCGGUUGGGGCUGGACUAGCGGCUUAUCCGCUUGUUGGUGGGGUAGUGGCUGACCAGGCCUGUGACGGGUAGCCUGCCUGGGAGGUGGACCGGGGACAAGGGGACUGAGGUAGGGCCCAGACGCCUACGGGAGGCAGCAGUGGGAAGUAUGGCACAAUGGCGGGAAGCCUGAUGCAGCAAUGCUGCGUGCGGGAUGCCGGCUUACGGGUGGUAAACCGCUUUGGCAGGUGACGAGGCGUGAGUGACGGUAAUGAGUCAAGAAGCACCGGCUAACUACGUG
rnacentral:rRNA from 1 species